rnacentral:rRNA from 1 species
UACAGAGGUCCCAAGCGUUGUUCGGAUUCACUGGGCGUAAAGGGCGCGUAGGCGGCGUGGUAAGUCACUUGUGAAAUCUCUGAGCUUAACUCAGAACGGCCAAGUGAUACUGCUGUGCUAGAGUGCAGAAGGGGCAAUCGGAAUUCUUGGUGUAGCGGUGAAAUGCGUAGAUAUCAAGAGGAACACCUGAGGUGAAGACGGGUUGCUGGGCUGACACUGACGCUGAGGCGCGAAAGCCAGGGGAGCAAACGGG